AAUAAAGAAACAGACAGACAAACAAAGCAAAUAUUGCCAGUCUAAGCUAUAGUAUUAAAUGUGUUGGUAUAAUUUGGAUGUACAACGGCAGAAGGAUUUCUUGAAAGGAGAAAAAGAGGAAAGAAUACUAUUUCCUGAUGGCGUUUAAUGUUGGCUGAUGUGAUUUGAAAUCUCUCAAAAUCAUCAUCAUUUUCAUAUAUAAUAAAAGAGAAAAUUCAAAGGUCAAAAGCAAACUCCGUAAUUGAAUAGAGAGAUGAGAGGUGAAGAUUACAAGAAAU
rnacentral:lncRNA from 1 species